rnacentral:rRNA from 1 species
AUUGAACGCUGGCGGCAUGCCUUACACAUGCAAGUCGAACGGUAACAGGUCUUAGGAUGCUGACGAGUGGCGAACGGGUGAGUAAUACAUCGGAACGUGCCCGAUCGUGGGGGAUAACGAAGCGAAAGCUUUGCUAAUACCGCAUACGAUCUACGGAUGAAAGCAGGGGACCGCAAGGCCUUGCGCGAACGGAGCGGCCGAUGGCAGAUUAGGUAGUUGGUGGGAUAAAAGCUUACCAAGCCGACGAUCUGUAGCUGGUCUGAGAGGACGACCAGCCACACUGGGACUGAGACACGGCCCAGACUCCUACGGGAGGCAGCAGUGGGGAAUUUUGGACAAUGGGCGAAAGCCUGAUCCAGUCAUGCCGCGUGCAGGAUGAAGGCCUUCGGGUUGUAAACUGCUUUUGUACGGAACGAAAAGACUCUGGUUAAUACCUGGGGUCCAUGACGGUACCGUAAGAAUAAGCACCGGCUAACUACGUG